GGAAUAUGUUGCCUUAUGUGGUAAAAGGCCACAUACACGGCAUAUGGGAAGUGCAAAGCACCUUACAAAUAUAAACAGCUAUUAAAGUAAUAUGAAACCCCACAGUAAAAAUAAGAGAAAAUAAAUUAAAAAUACAGUAGACUAGAUCCAGCUUAUGUAAAAGGGAAACCAGUGGUGCAGGAGCAUUUGGGGUCCAUUUCGAGCCGCGGUAAGGCUGGAGAUCUCAAGCGAUAACAGAGAGACAGCAAGGCGCACGUGGACGGCAUGUUCACCAAUUACCAAACUUUCUGACCUGAGCAACUAGAAGAAUGGAGUUGCCAUUAUUUGACACAAAGAAGACUGCAGGAGGGACAGGUUUGAGUAGAAAUAUGAAGAGCUCACCCAAGUGGAUGUGGUAAGUAGGCUAUUUUGAUAUUUGGACCUGAGUUCAGGAAGAAGGUUGAGAGUGAAGUAGGAAUUUGGAGGUUUUCAGAAUCAAUAUAAUAUGUAAAACCCAAGGGACUGAAGAAAUUACUUAGGAAA
rnacentral:lncRNA from 1 species